GCCCGCGGCUGAGUGUCCCGGCCGCGCGCGCCGGGCUCGGGGGCCACACGGCCCCUCCCGCCACCCAGCACCCAGCCCUGCCGGGUCACCCCAGCCGGUCCUGUGACGGACUCUGCCCUGAGCCAGGCCCGGCCCUAACAGCCCAGCGGCUCACGGGCGGGGCGCGGGGGGUCUGAGAGGAGCCGCUGGCCUCACCUCUUCGGUGGACGCCGAGCCGAGCGGGCACCGGGCUGGCCGGCUUCCGCGGGGGUGCGCUGGCAGGAAGCCCUGCAGGUGGUUAGGGAGGUCCGCGUCCAGAGGAAGCGUCCAUGCGGUGAGGACAGGUCCACUGCCUCAUGACGGAAACCCGGAAUAGCCGGCUGCUGUGGCUGGCCGGUCCCCCCAGGACACGGUGGUCUGGGGGCUCAGCGCUGCUGCGCCGCUGGGCACCCCACACUUGUGGGGAGCAGGCGGCCGUCGCUGGGGAGUCUGUGUUGCUGAGCCCACAGGCUCUGCCCCGGCUGCCGCGGCCACUUUGUGAGCGCCGGGAGAUCGGGGAAAACCCUCCAUGGUGGUGACUCACGUCAGGUUUGGCCACAAGGCCUGGAGUUCUAUUUCUGUUCCACAAGAUGGGCCCCAGUCUAGGUGGCCACCCGAGUACUUCAUUCUGGACACCCUGAUUAGCCAGGGAGCCCUGCGAGAGAGCGUGCUGCGUGUCCCUGUGUUCCAGCCGCCUGCUGGGGUAAGGUCCAGCCUCGGUGGGAGGCGGCGUGGCCACGGGACAGAGCGGCCUGCCUGGGGCAGAGGAAGGGUCCAGAGGCCGAGAACCAGAGUGGUCUGCAGGAGAGACCACCCUUUGGCUGGGAAACUCACUGGGGUGCACACCGGGGCUACAGAAACUGCCCUUCAGGGCUGAGAAUCUUGCUGGGCACAGGACAGGCUGCAGGAGGCCCGCCCAAAGCAGCUGCAGGUGGAGGAGAAACACCGAGGGGCCUUGCAUCCACCGGCCCCCUGGCCUUGCACCGCAGGAAGAGAGAAGCAGCUGGCGCCGGGAAGGGAGCCCCCUCCUCUGCCUGCAGACGCGUUGCUCCAGAGCUCCAGUGAGGAAGCCCCCAGCCAGCUAGCCCACCAAGGAGAAGCAUCUGCAGGUCUGGCUCCCCAUCAUGAGGCGGCCAAGGAGAGUGAGUCCCCGCCCAGCCCGUACCUACUGCGGCAGUGGCGCUCCUCGACUCCCGAGGUCAGGUCCUAAAAGCUGACACGGCCAGUGGAACUCAGCCACCCGGUCGGCCCGGAGCGCCCCCUGCCCUGGGAGGAAUUGGCAGGCAGCAGCCCGUGCCAGCUACUCAGGCACCGGCUUGCACAAGCAGGUCUCUGUCCCCACGGGCGGGGCCACGCUAGCUGACGCCAGGGGGAGCGGGGUUGCGCCUUCCCUCUGGACUCGGCCAAACCUGCAGAUUCCUGAACAAGACCGACGGUAGUGGCUGUUCCUUAGCAGCAGGGCAGCGGAAGGACAGAGUAGGCACUGUGAGCAGGCCGGGCGCUUGUACUUCCUGGAAUCCUGCAACGUGGCGCCCCGGUCGUGGAACUGGCUGCGGCUGGGGGCCGGUGAGGGGUCGGACUGUUGGGUGCGUGGUGUCAGAUCUCUCCUCACCCCAUCUGGGUUAUUUUUUCACUGAUCGUGUGCGCUUUCCCAUCAUGUCCAUUUUGUUCAGGCUUAGGGGCACCUGACCCAGCUGUCAAGUCCAAGACCAAAGCCAGAGAGCCUGGCACUGUGCCUCGUGACGGCUGCCCCCACAACCCUGCUCACCUGACCUCUGGGCCUGCCCCCUGGGGUGCCCAGGGGACACUGAUACUGCCACCAUCAUUCCUGGCCCACAGAGGGCUUUUCGAGAAUAUGUGGUCCUCACCAAGGGCUCUGGCCAGGCCUCUGUCAGGGCAGUGUGGUUUGGGGACACAGUGAGGCAUUCAGUGAGUGGGCUGCACCGGGCAACUCACAGCAGGUCCUUAUCUCCCCAAAUUUUUGGGAGUCUUCCCUACCUAUCACACCAAGGGACUUUUGGCUCAGCUCAGCUGUGCCAAGUCCAAGCUUCCAGCAACAAAGGACCAAACUGGGCCUCUGUGGCUCUCGGUGCGAGUCAGCAAAAUCUUGGUGUUCCCGGGGUGGGGCCCGGAGGAGAAGCCGCCUCCCCUUAGCCAGCGACUGCCUCGGUGUGGUCUGCACGGAAGGGGGUGUCUCAGGGAGGAGGGUCACCUGUGCUGGCGGGCCAGGCUUUAUGGGGUGAGCUCGGGGGUGAGCAAGGUCCUUCCCCUCCACUGUCUCGGUCCUCACACGUCCUCGGGCUGCUCCGGUCUGGACCUGAGGGGACGGAGACCCCGCUGUGCGUUGGAAUCCUGCCAGCGCCGGGCUGAAGCUGGGGCACGAUUUCCCGAUACUACAAGAAACCAGAUCUCUUAUAGCAGCCCAGUAGAUUUUCCCAUUUUCUGGUUCUACCCUGGAACUGAGAACUUAAAGCUUGUCUUAAAAACGUCAGGUCGGCGCGGGAAGUCUGAGGUUGCCGGCCUGCCCUUCUGACCUCCUUUUAUCUUAAUUACCUCCGUCGAGACCCUCCGUCCUAACUACAUCCCAUUCAGAGGAACUGUGGGUUGGGAGCUCAGGACCUGCAUUUUGAGGGGACACGGUUCAACCCGCCACACACAGAUGAGAUCAUCACUUCCUAUCACCUGUCCUGGACUUCCGCCUCCCAGGCUCUCCCGGAGCGACUUGUCACCCGCCUUCACUCGGGUCAGCUCUCUGGGCGUUUCAAGCCGGAGGUGUUUAGUACGGAGGUUCGGUGCCCCUAAACCGCGGAUGGGCAGGAGUGAAGGGCGGGGCCGCACCGCUGGACCCUGGCGGGGGGCGGGCGGGGGCACCGAGACUCUGCGGCUUGCGAGAAGCGGGUCCUGUCAGUGACCGCGGCCUCCUGCCCUGGGCGUGCUGCCCCAUCUCACCUGCCAGAGCCCCCCAGGUGGCCUGUGACUGCCCGGGGGGGGGGGGCGGGGGAUCAGGAGACUCCUCCUGUGGGUGGACUGUAGCCCGGGAUCCCGACGUGGCUUCCAGGGAGGGUGUCAUUGGGGAGGUGGCCGUCCCAUGACGCGCUGCCCCGGGGGACGUCGGUAUGAAAACAUGACCCUUGGGCGGGCCACCAUCCGCAGGGCCGCUGGCGGCUGGUAGGGUGCUGGCGGCCCGCAUGGAGUGACCCCCGGCCUUGCGGUGCAGAUGACGUAAGCUGCACGUGAGGCACCUGGGAGUGGGCGGUCGGGGACCAGCGCGGGAAGCCGCCGCCUCUGUCCACCUGCUCUCCACCUCCGAGGCCCGCUCCCGGACACGAGCUCUGAUUGGCUUCCCUCCCUGGGCCAAUCGGCGGUGGCCGUGGGGGGUAGGGGGCUGAUUGGCUGAGCCCAGGGGCGUGCCCACAGCUGAGCCAAUCCGCAGAGGGGAGGGCGGGGCCCACAGGAGGCAGGCGCGCCCACUCGCGUACACUGAGCAGAGGGAGUUGCCUCCCCGCGUCGACGCCAGGUGCCCCCCGACGCCAGGUGCCGCCGGACGCCAGGUGUCCCCGAUGCCGGCCCUCCCACGCCCGGCCUGCGUGUGGGCUGUGGGGCCAGGGCGCCCCGCGGAGGCCGAGCUGGGGCUGGCUGGUGCGGUGCGGGGGGGACACGCGCGGCGCAGCCCGGAUUCAAACCCAGGCCGGCCCACAGACCCUUCAGAAGCCGUGCUCUCUCGCCUCUGGGUAUUUUGUGCAUUGAGGGGACGGUCACGUCACAUACAGGUCACCAUCUGAAAGUCAACAAUUCAGUCAUCUGGUGCUUCACAAUGCCGUGGGACCACUACCUCUGUGCAUUCUAGCACCUUCUCCUCACCCGGGAAAGCAUCUGUGCCUGUUAAGCAGUCACUCUCCACCCCCUCCCCCCGCCCCUGGUGGCCCCGGUCUUUCUGUUUCUGUGGAUUCCGACUCCAGAUUUCUCAUGAGAGAACAAGUACACGACACGUGGCCUUUGGUGUCGGUCCUGUCCCCGUCCGGCCACACUGUGGUGUCGGUCCUGUCCCCAUCCGGCCACACUGUGGCAGGUGUUGGCACUGGCUUCUCAGAGCUUGGGCAUCAAUGCUCUGGUGCAGAGAGACCACGUUUUGUUUAUUUGGACAUCAGUGGAGCCGGGCUGUGUCCCCCGCUCGGCUGUGGUGACCAGCGCGACCAAGGACAUUCCUGCGCGAGCCCCUGUGCGACCGCGUGUAAAGACCUUGGCACCACCCUUUGGAUCACCGUAGCUCGUAGCUCCGUAGUGAGUUUCGAAACAGGGAACUACCAACA